rnacentral:rRNA from 1 species
UACGUAGGUCCCGAGCGUUGUCCGAAUUUAUUGGGCGUAAAGCGAGCGCAGGCGGUUUAAUAAGUCUGAAGUUAAAGGCAGUGGCUUAACCAUUGUUCGCUUUGGAAACUGUUAGACUUGAGUGCAGAAGGGGAGAGUGGAAUUCCAUGUGUAGCGGUGAAAUGCGUAGAUAUAUGGAGGAACACCGGUGGCGAAAGCGGCUCUCUGGUCUGUAACUGACGCUGAGGCUCGAAAGCGUGGGGAGCAAACAGG